UACAUGUGGGGCAAGCGUUGUUCGGAAUUACUGGGCAUAAAGGGUGCGUAGGUGGUUUGUUUAGUCAGGGGUGAAAUCCCACGGCCCAACCGUGGAACGGCCUUUGAUACUGGCGAACUUGAGUGCGUGAGGGGUAGGAGGAACGAGCAGUGUAGCGGUGAAAUGCGUAGAUAUUGCUCGGAAGGCCGGAGCCGAAGGGGUCCUACUGGUACGUAACUGACACUGAGGCACGAAAGCGUGGGGAGCAAACAGG
rnacentral:rRNA from 1 species